rnacentral:hammerhead_ribozyme from 1 species
AUUCAGUGGAAGAGUCCCAACUAGGACGAAAUGCGCAUCCCGGAU